rnacentral:lncRNA from 1 species
AAAUACUUCUGACGAAAUCAAAACUUGAAUUCUUUUUAUUAUUAAAUAUUGUUGGGCUUUCAAGGAAAUCUUAGUACUACAUAUUCUAUAGAUAGAGUUGCACGUAAACUCCCACCGUCUACCCUUUAGGUCAAACUUUAAAACUUAAGAUGGCCAUGAUGUUUUUUAAGCACCUGGUGGAACUUUUCGUUUAAGAAAUC